UCGAACGAGGUGCUUUUUGUAGCAAUACGAGGAGUAUCCUAGUGGCGAACGGGUGAGUAACGCGUGGGUGACCUACCCCAAAGUGUGGAAUAACAGUCCGAAAGGAUUGCUAAUACCGCAUGUGGUCAUUGGGUUUAGAAACCGAUGACUAAAGGAGCAAUCCGCUUUGGGAGGGACCUGCGUCCCAUCAGCUAGUUGGCGAGGUAACGGCUCACCAAGGCGACGACGGGUAGGGGACCUGAGAGGGUGGCCCCCCACAAUGGAACUGAAACACGGUCCAUACACCUACGGGUGGCAGCAGUAGGGAAUAUUGCACAAUGGGCGAAAGCCUGAUGCAGCAACGCCGCGUGCGCGAUGAAGGUCUUCGGAUCGUAAAGCGCUUUUCUGGGAGAUGAGAAAGGACAGUAUCCCAGGAAUAAGUCUCGGCUAACUACGUGCCAGCAGCCGCGGUAAAACGUAGGAGGCGAGCGUUAUCCGGAUUCACUGGGCGUAAAGCGCGUGCAGGUGGUUUGGUAAGUUGGGCGUGAAAUCUCCCGGCUCAACUGGGAGAGGUCGUUCAAUACUACCGAGCUAGAGAGCAGAAGAGGAAGAUGGAAUUCCCGGUGUAGUGGUGAAAUGCGUAGAUAUCGGGAGGAACACCAGUGGCGAAGGCGAUCUUCUGGUCUGUUUCUGACACUCAGACGCGACAGCUAGGGUAGUAAACGGGAUUAGAGACCCCGGUAAUCCUAGCCGUAAACGAUGUGAACUUGGCGUUGGUGGGUUAAACUCCAUCAGUGCCGAAGCAAACGCGAUAAGUUCACCGCCUGGGGACUACGGCCGCAAGGUUAAAA
rnacentral:rRNA from 1 species